GAUGAACGCUGGCGGCGUGCCUAAUACAUGCAAGUCGAGCGAACAGAUGAGGAGCUUGCUCCUCUGACGUUAGCGGCGGACGGGUGAGUAACACGUGGAUAACCUACCUAUAAGACUGGGAUAACUUCGGGAAACCGGAGCUAAUACCGGAUAAUAUAUUGAACCGCAUGGUUCAAUAGUGAAAGACGGUUUUGCUGUCACUUAUAGAUGGAUCCGCGCCGCAUUAGCUAGUUGGUAAGGUAACGGCUUACCAAGGCAACGAUGCGUAGCCGACCUGAGAGGGUGAUCGGCCACACUGGAACUGAGACACGGUCCAGACUCCGACGGGAGGCAGCAGUAGGGAAUCUUCCGCAAUGGGCGAAAGCCUGACGGGGCAACGCCGCGUGAGUGAUGAAGGUCUUCGGAUCGUAAAACUCUGUUAUUAGGGAAGAACAAAUGUGUAAGUAACUAUGCACGUCUUGACGGUACCUAAUCAGAAAGCCACGGCUAACUACGUG
rnacentral:rRNA from 1 species